UACGUAGGGUCCAAGCGUUAUCCGGAAUCACUGGGCGUAAAGCGUGCGUAGGCGGCGUGUUAAGUGUGAUGUUAAAUCGUGUGGCUCAACCAUAUCGAUGCAUCGCAUACUGGCAUGCUAGAGGAAGGCAGAGGCAAGUGGAAUUUGUAGUGUAGCAGUGAAAUGCGUAGAUAUUACAAGGAACACCAAUGGCGAAGGCAGCUUGCUGGGCCUUUUCUGACGCUGAGGUACGAAAGCGUGGGGAGGCGAACAGG
rnacentral:rRNA from 1 species